rnacentral:rRNA from 1 species
UACGAAGGGGGCUAGCGUUGCUCGGAAUUCCUGGGCGUAAAGGGCGCGUAGGCGGCUCUGUUAGUCAGGCGUGAAAGCCCUGGGCUCAACCUGGGGACUGCGCUUGAUACGGCAGGGCUUGAGGGCAGAAGAGGCUCGCGGAAUUCCCAGUGUAGAGGUGAAAUUCGUAGAUAUUGGGAAGAACACCGGUGGCGAAGGCGGCAUCCUGGACCGGUAUUGACGCUGAGGCGCGAAAGCUAGGGGAGCAAACGGG